rnacentral:rRNA from 1 species
GACGAACGCUGGCGGCGUGCUUAACACAUGCAAGUCGAACGGAAAGGCCCUGCUUUUGUGGGGUGCUCGAGUGGCGAACGGGUGAGUAACACGUGAGUAACCUGCCCUUGACUUUGGGAUAACUUCAGGAAACUGGGGCUAAUACCGGAUAGGAGCUCCUGCUGCAUGGUGGGGGUUGGAAAGUUUCGGCGGUUGGGGAUGGACUCGCGGCUUAUCAGCUUGUUGGUGGGGUAGUGGCUUACCAAGGCUUUGACGGGUAGCCGGCCUGAGAGGGUGACCGGACACAUUGGGACUGAGAUACGGCCCAGACUCCUACGGGAGGGAGAAGUGGGGAAUAUUGCACAAUGGGCGGAAGCAUGAUGCAGCAACGCCGCGUGCGGGAUGACGGCCUUCGGGUUGUAAACCGCUUUCGCCUGUGACGAAGCGUGAGUGACGGUAAUGGGUAAAGAAGCACCGGCUAACUACGUG